CGGAGGGAGCGAGCGUUGUCCGAAGUUACUGGGCGUAAAGCGCGCGUAGGCGGGGAAUUAAGUGAGAAGUGAAAGGCUGGGGCUCAACCCCAUGCAGUGCUUCUCAUACUGGUUUUCUUGAGGGUGGUAGAGAGAAGUGGAAUGGCUGGUGUAGCGGUGAAAUGCGUAGAUAUCAGUCGGAACACCGGUGGCGAAGGCGGCUUCUUGGGCCAUUACUGACGCUGAGGCGCGAAAGCUAGGGGAGCGAACGGGAUUAGAUACCCCGGUAGUCCUAGCCGUAAACGAUGGAUACUAGGUGUCGGGGGUAUCGACCCCUCCGGUGCCGCAGCUAACGCACUAAGUAUCCCGCCUGGGGAGUACGGCCGCAAGGUUG
rnacentral:rRNA from 1 species